CUACUCUCUCUUCACAAUGUGGUGUUCACGUAUCGUCGGAAGAACGAGCUCUGAACUGUGAGGGUGUGUCGAGCUAGAGAGCAUGGUAGCUGAUGGCAGAAACUCUUUGAUUAGCGCCCUUGGAGAAGCGGAAUGAGUUUUCACGGUGUUCAUGGUGCAUGGUGCUCGUUGAGAGGAAGAAAUAAAUUGACACCCGUUUGAAACUC